UCUUCUGGGACUUCGGGCACGCGGUUCACGUGGGCGGAAGACGGAGGUGAAGGCGGGCGCGUGAAUGCCACCGGAGCGGUGUAGGAAAAGGAAGCCUAAGCAAAAAAGCAUUUGAUGCCUGUGUGUGCAUCCUCCAGCCUGGCGACAACGUCUCUGUCGGAUGAGGAGCUCUCCUCCGACAUCCGCCGACCCGAGGGAGCCGGGACUUUCUGAGCCACAUCACAUACACAGACCUUCCCAUCGAAUAUUCAUAGAAUGUCUCAAGUUGGAAGGGACCCAGAAAGGUCAUCGAGUCCAACUCCCUGCUCCUCGCAGGACUACCUAAAACUAAACUAUAUGACUAAAAGCAUCAUCCUGAGCUAGGGAAGUUGCUGAACUUCUUUGAAUUCUCUUUCAACCUUUUUCCUCCCCAAUAUAAAUCUUCAGCCACUGAUAAAAUGUUCUAUUCUGCUGUUAUUUUCAGUAUUUUAUAGAUGAACUAUUGCAUUUAAAACAGGCUACUUAAGGAUCAUUUCCAUUUCAUGGGAAACAACCUUUUUUUUUUCUCUUGUUGUUCUCAUCGUGUUUUAGUUUCUCUGUUCACUUACAAUAUCAGGAAGUGAUUUUUGAGUUCUACAAAUAGACAAGCACUAAAACAUUUAAAAGUGA